GUCCACGCCGUAAACGAUAACCACUAGAUGUUGGUUCGGCUUAGCUGGAUCAGUGUCGUAGCUAACGCGUUAAGUGGUUCGCCUGGGGAGUAUGGUCGCAAGGCUAAACUUAAAGAAUUGACGGGGUCCGCACAAGCGGUGGAACAUGUGGUUUAAUUCGACACUACGCGAGGAACCUUACCUGGACUUGACAUGUACUUGACACCUGUAGAAUACAGUCUUUCGAGCUUCGGUUCGAACGGGUACACAGGUGCUGCAUGGCUGUCGU
rnacentral:rRNA from 1 species